GGCCGGAUGGUCUAGUUGGUUAUGGCAUCUGCUUAACACGCAGAACGUCCCCAGUUCGAUCCUGGGUUCAGUCA
rnacentral:tRNA from 1 species